CCUCGCUUUUCUGUACCGUAAGGUGGUACAGGAAUAAGUGCUGGGCAAGACCGGUGCCAGCCGCCGCGGUAAUACCGGCAGCACGAGUGAUGACCGAUAUUAUUGGGCUAAAGCGUCCGUAGCUGGCCGCGCAAGUCCGUCGGGAAAUCCACCAGCCCAACUGGUGGGCGUCCGGCGGAAACUGCACGGCUUGGGACCGGAAGACUCGAGGGGUACGUCCGGGGUAGGAGUGAAAUCCCGUAAUCCUGGACGGACCGCCGAUGGCGAAAGCACCUCGAGAAGACGGAUCCGACAGUGAGGGACGAAAGCUCGGGUCUCGAACCGGAUUAGAUACCCGGGUAGUCCGAGCCGUAAACGAUGUCUGCUAGGUGUGACUCCCACUACGAGUGGGUGUUGUGCCGUAGGGAAGCCGCUAAGCAGACCGCCUGGGAAGUACGUCCGCAAGGAUGAAACUUAAAGGAAUUGGCGGGGGAGCACUACAACCGGAGGAGCCUGCGGUUUAAUUGGACUCAACGCCGGACAUCUCACCAGCACCGACAGCAGCAAUGAAGCUCAGUGUGAUGAGCUUAGCAGAGCUGCUGAGAGGAGGUGCAUGGCCGCCGUCAGCUCGUACCGUGAGGCGUCCUGUUAAGUCAGGCAACGAGCGAGACCCGCACUCCUAAUUGCCAGCAACACCCUCGGGUGGUUGGGUACAUUAGGAGGACUGCCGUGGCCAACACGGAGGAAGGAACGGGCAACGGUAGGUCAGUAUGCCCCGAAUGUGCUGGGCUACACGCGGGCUACAAUGGUCGAGACAAUGGGUUCCUACCUCGAAAGAGGACGGUAAUCUCGUAAACUCGAUCGUAGUUCGGAUUGAGGGCUGAAACCCGCCCUCAUGAAGCUGGAUUCGGUAGUAAUCGCGUUUCACCAGAGCGCGGUGAAUACGUCCCUGCUCCUUGCACACACCGCCCGUCAAAGCACCCGAGUGGGGUCCGGAUGAGGCCUGCCGCGCAGGUCGAAUC
rnacentral:rRNA from 1 species